AUUGAACGCUGUCGGCAGGCCUACCACAUUCAAGUCGAGCGAGUGGCUGACGGGUGAGUAAUGUAUGGGGACUGCCCGAUAGAGGGGGAUAACUACUGGAAACGGUAGCUAAUACCGCAUACUAUCGGAUAACCCAUAUGGGAUUAGUUAGUAGGUGAGGUAAUGGCUCACCUAGGCGACGAUCCCUAGCUGUUCUGAGGGGAUGAUCAGCCACACUGGGACUGAGACACGGCCCAGACUCCUACGGAGGCAGGGGAGGGGAAUAUUGCACUAUGGGCACAAGCCUGAUGAGCCCAUGCAGGGUGUAUGAAGAAGGGACUAGGGUUGUGAAGUAUUUUCAGUCGGGCGGCGUUACCGACAGAAGAAGCACCGGCUAACUCAGUGCCAGCAGCCGCGGUAAUAC
rnacentral:rRNA from 1 species